rnacentral:tRNA from 1 species
AAAAUUUUAGUUUAAAGUAUAAGUAUAAAAUAAUUCAUUUACAUUGAAUAGAUUAAUUAAAAAAUUAAGAUUUUA